CAAAACAGCAAAAAAA
rnacentral:sRNA from 1 species